UACGAAGGGGGCUAGCGUUGCUCGGAAUGACUGGGCGUAAAGGGCGCGUAGGCGGUUCGUACAGUCAGACGUGAAAUUCCCGGGCUCAACCUGGGGGCUGCGUUUGAUACGUGCGGGCUUGAGUUCGGAAGAGGGUCGUGGAAUUCCCAGUGUAGAGGUGAAAUUCGUAGAUAUUGGGAAGAACACCGGUGGCGAAGGCGGCGACCUGGUCCGAUACUGACGCUGAGGCGCGAAAGCGUGGGGAGCGAUCCGG
rnacentral:rRNA from 1 species